rnacentral:rRNA from 1 species
UAUUGGGCGUAAAGGGUGCGUAGGUGGUUGAAUAAGUUAUUGGUGGUAAAUCGGAGCUCAACUCCGUGGAGGCCAGUAAUACUAUUGAACUAGAGGGCCGGAGGGGUUAAUGGAAUUCUAUGUGUAGCGGUAAAAUGCUCAAAUAUAUAGAGGAACGCCAAUCGGCGAAGGAGUUAACUAUUCGAUUCCUGACGUUGAGGCACGAAAGCGUGGGGAGCAAGACGGAUUAGAUACCCGAGUAGUCCACGCCCUAAACGAUGAGUACUAGAUAUUGGGAACUUGAUUCUCAGUGUCGCAAGGUAACCCGGUAAGUACUCCGCCUGGGUAGUACGGUUGCAAGACUAAAACUCAAAGGAAUUGACGGGGACUCACACAAGCAGUGGAGCAUGUGGUUUAAUCCGAUACGACGCGUAGAACCUUACCGGGGUUUGACAUGUUCGGCAAAACUCGGGAAACCGAGGGGAGGCUAUCCGAGCACAGGUGUUGCAUGGCCAUCGUCAGUUCGUGUUGUGAAAUGUAUGGUUUAGUCCUAUUAACGAACGAAACCCUUAUGCUUAGUUGCUAACAAGUAAAGUUGAGGACUCUAAGCAGACUGCCAAGGUAACUUGGAGGAAGGAGAGGAUCAAGUUUGGU